rnacentral:lncRNA from 1 species
UGCAUUUUAAAACUCCUCGUGCUUUGUGCAUGCAACCUGGAGUAGAGUGAAGGAUGUUAUAGGUACCAACUAGUGGUAGGGAAUUCAAAUUCGAAUUUGAAUUUAAAGUUUAUUGGAUUUACACAUAUGUCUAUGUGUGGUGUUUGAAAAAUUGGAGAGGGAUUAGGUUUUGUCGCAAAUCGGUGAUCAAAUCGGAUGAAACGAAAUGGUAGAUUUGAUGCCUCAGUCAUGCCGAACGCGCUGGCGCAAUCCGAUCGGAAAUCCGACGGACGGAUCUCCG